rnacentral:rRNA from 1 species
GAUGAACGCUGGCGGCGUGCCUAAUACAUGCAAGUCGAACGCUGGAACUCUAGCUUGCUAGAUUGAAGGAGUGGCGCACGGGUGAGUAAUACAUAAGCAACCUACCCACGAAGACUGGGGUAAUCUCUGGAAACGGGGACUAAUACCGGAUAGGUAAUCGGAAGCCCUCUUCUGAUUAUUAAAGGUUAAAAACACUGGUGGAUGGACUUAUGUCGCAUUCGUUAGAUGGUGAGGUAACGGCCCCCCAUGCCAAAGAUGCGUAGCCGACCUGGGCUGGUGAACGGAACGGCUGGAUCGGAACCGCGGCACAGCCCAGACCCGUACGCGAGGCAGGGGAAGGGACUUUUCGGCGAGGGGGCAAACCCGGACCGAGCAACGCCGGGUAAGUGAGUACGGCCUUCGGGUAGUAAAGCUCUGUUGUAAGAAAAGAACGGUAGAUAGAGAAUAUCUAAAUGACGGUACCUUACCAGAAAGCCACGGCUAACUACGUG